CAUUGCGAAGAACAAUCGAUGGCUCAAACAAACGGUUCUGACCCUAGCUUCAGAUCCAAACCCUAGAAUGUAAGUUUCCUUUUCUUCAUCUCCGACCUUUUGAUUUGAUAUUUGUCUAGCUUUAAUUUUUGAGUUUCUAAUCGAUGAUCUUAGUAAGAUAUCUUGUUUUAUGGGUGAAUGAGUGAUCAAAGAGUACAAUAUUUGAUUUCACUUUGAAAUGGUUCUAUCUAUGGUAUGUGUUAAUUGUUGANNNNNNNNNNNNNNNNNNNNNNNNGGGUUUUAAUUUUGAGGAUAGAAGGUAUGUUUCUGAAGAGAUAAUUUAGUAUUGGUUUCUAUAAUUUUGUUACAUUUAGAUGCAUAUGCAGAUAGAUGUUAUGCUCUAAAAUGAUGAUUUCAAUUUUAAGUGUCGUUGAAGAAGUAAUGAGCUUAAUGUGAGACCAAUUGUAAUUGGUUUGGGAGCAUUUGAAUUCCGCACCUGUAAAGAAAAUGGGGAAAUUUGCAGCAUUUUUG
rnacentral:lncRNA from 1 species